rnacentral:rRNA from 1 species
CGGGGGAAAGAUUUAUCGGGGAAGGAUUGGCCCGCGUUGGAUUAGCUAGUUGGUGGGGUAAAGGCCUACCAAGGCGCGAUCCAUAGCUGGUCUGAGAGGAUGAUCAGCCACAUUGGGACUGAGACACGGCCCAAACUCCUACGGGAGGCAGCAGUGGGGAAUAUUGGACAAUGGGCGCAAGCCUGAUCCAGCCAUGCCGCGUGAGUGAUGAAGGCCUUAGGGUUGUAAAGCUCUUUCACCGAUGAAGAUAAUGACGGUAGUCGGAGAAGAAGCCCCGGCUAACUUCGUGCCAGCAGCCGCGGUAAUACGAAGGGGGCUAGCGUUGUUCGGAAUUACUGGGCGUAAAGCGCACGUAGGCGGAUAUUUAAGUCAGGGGUGAAAUCCCGCAGCUCAACUGCGGAACUGCCUUUGAUACUGGGUAUCUUGAGUAUGGAAGAGGUAAGUGGAAUUCCGAGUGUAGAGGUGAAAUUCGUAGAUAUUCGGAGGAACACCAGUGGCGAAGGCGGCUUACUGGUCCAUUA